rnacentral:tRNA from 1 species
AACUAGGUAACAUAAUGGCAAUGUGUUGGACUACAAAUCCUGGAAUGACGGUUCGACUCCGUCCCUAGUUU